rnacentral:lncRNA from 1 species
UGACACGGAAAACACAUCAUCCUUCUUUUUCCUUUUGUUUGGUAGGAAUUCCAUUACUUUCAGAAAUUGAAGGUUUUUCUUCCAUAUUUUCUUUAGCUUAAUAGUAUCGAACAAGACAUAAAUCUCAUACAAUACUUCAUCUAUUUCUCCUCUUUUAUCAGCCUUGUUGCUAGGUGUGAGACUACUCUUUUGUUGAAGAUCUUGUAGUUGAACAUCUACGUCUAAACGAAUUAUUGAAAUUCAAACUUCAUCCAAAACGAGACAAUCUUCAUCUUACAUUAUUGCUCUUUUCCCACAUAUCUUU